AAUUAAACGGCUUGAGCAUUUGGUUGUCUAGAGAUGGCGAUGACCAAGGCAACCACUUCAACACAAAUUCAACUCAUCAUACUUCUCCCACUUCUUGCAAGUUUUCUUGUGUGGGGAUCUACAAUGAGCCACGAGGCUCGAAGGGGGUCGACAGACAUCAGAGUCACUAGCCAUUCAGUGCGAAUGCCAAAAACAAUGAAGAGUAGUUGCCAGGUUACACUGGGAUUAUGUAACCACAGUUGCCUCAUGGGUUGUUGCAAUGAAAGAUGUUCUAAUCAAUUCAAGAAUGGCGUUGGGAAAUGCCUAGAACCUAUGCUUCCUAGGGCACCAUGUUUGUGUCAAUACACUUGUUAGAAUCCACCAAUAUAUUUUCAAAUUUCAAGAUAUUUCUCAA